GAUUCAACCAUAAUUUAAUAAAAAAAAUCCAAAUUUUCAACUCCUUAAUUAAGAGCUGCAAAAGUGGUAUUUCAGCUUCAAAAUUCAAGGGUUGGUUUUAUUUUCCGUAAAAAAUAAUUGGGUGACUUGGAACAUGCCGAACUAUUAUAAACGAACACCCGGCAGUCGUACUUACCGAAAUUUUUCUGAAGAAACUUUAGAUAAUGCAUUGAACGAAAUCCGAAAUUAUAGAUUGACUUACCGACAGGCUUCUGAUAAGUAAAAUUUGAAACUGUAAGAGGCAACUUUGAAGAAUAUGUAGGACAAAUUACUGAAAUAGAGGAGGAUAAUUUACUGUGCCGGUUCCUUAGAAAGAGCCAAAGUAUGAGAGGAUGUUUUUCUUUUCCUUUCAUAAUAGAUGAAGCAUAUGUUGGAAAAGACCAAGUUAUAAAAAAAUUAAAGGUCAUAAAAGAAAGAAGAGGCAACUAUCAGUUUGAAUAAAAAUUAGUUCCUUAUCUACUGUAAAAAUUUAAAUUGUUAAGUUUUAAAAUCAAUAACAUUAAUUUUUGGUUACCUAUUGUUAAAUUGUUUUUUGUUAUAAAUAUUAAAUUGUAAGGUUCAAAAAAGAAAUACUUAUGUUGUAUCUAUUGUUUUACAAGUCAGUUUAAACUGUUUUAUUUUUUGUUGUAUAUAAAGUUUAAUUUUAUUAAUAUGUUUGUUAAAUUUAUUUUGUGAGCAAAGACUGCAACUUAUAAGAAAAAGUAUUAUUUUGUAAUAAACAGUUUUAAAAAAAUGUUAAAUUGUUUUUAAAUUAAUAAAAAUAUGGUUUUUGGUUAUUGUUA